AGGACGAACGCUGGCGGCGUGCUUAACACAUGCAAGUCGAGCGGUGAUCCUCCUUCGGGAGGUGAUCAGCGGCGAACGGGUGAGUAACACGUGGGCAACCUGCCCCUCACACUGGGAUAACCUCGGGAAACCGGGGCUAAUACCGGAUACGACCUCGAGCGGCAUCUCUUGAGGUGGAAAGCUCCGACGGUGAGGGAUGGGCCCGCGGCCUAUCAGCUUUGUUGGUGGGUAAUGGCCUACCGAAGGCGACGACGGGUA
rnacentral:rRNA from 1 species